rnacentral:rRNA from 1 species
UAAACAACCUGCCUUCAGGAUGGGGACAACAGACGGAAACGACUGCUAAUACCGAAUAAGUUCCAAGAGCCGCAUGGCCCAUGGAAGAAAAGGUGGCCUCUACCUGUAAGCUAUCGCCUGAAGAGGGGUUUGCGUCUGAUUAGCUGGUUGGAGGGGUAACGGCCCACCCAAGGCGACGAUCAGUAGCCGGUCUGAGAGGAUGAACGGCCACACUGGAACUGAGACACGGUCCAGACUCCUACGGGAGGCAGCAUG